GACGAACGCUGGCGGCGUGCCUAAUACAUGCAAGUCGUACGGUCUUUUCUAUGGAAGCUUGCUUCCGCUGAGAAGACAGUGGCGAACGGGUGAGUAACACGUGGGUAACCUGCCCAUAAGAGGGGGAUAACAUCCGGAAACGGGUGCUAAUACCGCAUAGUUUUCUUGAUCGCAUGAUUGAGAAAGGAAAGACGGCCUUUGUGCUGUCGCUUAUGGAUGGACCCGCGGCGUAUUAGUUAGUUGGUGAGGUAACGGCUCACCAAGACGGUGAUACGUAGCCGAACUGGGAGGGUGAUCGGCCACAUUGGGGCUGAGACACGGCCCAAACUCCUACGGGAGGCAGCAGUAGGGAAUCUUCCGCAAUGGACGAGAGUCUGACGGAGCAACGCCGCGUGAGUGAAGAAGGUUUUCGGAUCGUAAAACUCUGUUGUCAGAGAAGAACAAGGCGGAGAGUAACUGCUCCGGCCUUGACGGUAUCUGACCAGAAAGCCACGGCUAACUACGUGCCAGCCGCCGCCGUAAUAC
rnacentral:rRNA from 1 species